rnacentral:lncRNA from 1 species
UUUCACCCAUUGUCCCUGAUGUGACAUCCCUCAUUACAGCCAUUCCACAUGAUGCCACUUGCUUCACUGUCAUUGAUUUAAGUAAUGCAUUUUUUCUAUACCUAUUGAUCAAGAGACACAGCUACUUAUGGUUUUUACUUUUUGAAGGCUGUCAGUUUACCUGGACACGCUUACCCAAGGCUAUGUGGAUUCCCCAGCUGUUUAUUCGUUGGUACUCCAACAUACUCUAAAAAACAUGGACCACCGGUCAUGGUUCCGUCCUUUUUGCAAAAUGUUGAUGAUUUGUUGUUAUGUAGCCCUAGCUCUGAGGCAAGCACUGUGGAUACUGUCAGCAACUGAAGGUCACAAGGUUGUUAAACACAAAAUGCAAUUGUGUAAAUCAAAGGUUGAAUACUUAGGUUUUGUUCUGGCUUUAGGCACCAGACAAUUGAGUCCAAAACGUAUUGAGGUCAUUCAGAGGAUUCCUACACCCACUACUCGGAAGGAGUUGCUCACCUUCCUCGGCAUGAUUAAUUACUGCCACCAAUGGAUCCCUGAAUGCUCCCAUUAUGACUCAAUCCUAAGGGAGGCUGUACGUUCUGACAGCCCUGAAAAUGUCUGCUGGUCACCAGACAUGCUAGCUGCAUAUAUUGCCCUUACAGUUGUUAUUGUGCAAGCCCAGGCUUUAGGACUACCUGUGUAUUGUAAACCAUUUCAUUUGUAUGCUCGGGACAACUGUAAAACCAUGGCCGCGGUCUGUGCACAAGAGCAAGGAGGCGGUAUGCGUCCCAUAGCAUUCUUUUCCAAAGUAGUUCGAGCUCCGGUACAGGGUAUGCCGGCGUGUCUCAGAGCAUUGAUAGCAUGUGCAAUGGCUGUUGAAACUGCUACUACUAUCACACUAGGGCAUCAUACAAUACUUCAUGCCAGUCACCAGGUCACUCAGCUGAUAACAAAUCUCACCACACAACACAUGACAGCCCAGCACUUAAGUGGUUAUGAGAUUCUUUUUUUAAAUACCCACAAUCUGUCUUUUGGAUUAAACAAGGUUUAGAGAAAGAUCAAAAUGAUCUGUUCUCUAAAGAGGGGAGAAUAGGCAUACUUGAAGAAUAGGCAUACUUGAAGCAAGCUGCUUUAUUUUCAUCAGUCAGGCACAUAGCAAGCACCAUUCAAUUCCUCAUGAAUUCAUUUUAUAUUAGGAAUCUCAGGCAGCAUGUACAGUCUUUUGUAAGAUCGUGUGAACACUGCUCUUUUUACACACUUACAGAUUGAUUUUAUUUAUGUAUCCAAAAUUGGUAAGAAACAGCAAUACUUACUGGUCAUAGUUGAUCAGUUUAGUAGAUGGCAUGAGGCCUUUGUGACAUCUAGGGAAGAUGCUAGUGAAGAUUAUUGUUACUGAAAUUAUUCCCAGGUAUGGCUGCCCUCUGCAGAUUGGCUCUGAUAAUCGCCCAGUAUUUGCAAGUGGGGUUGCCCAGGAACUUGCUAAAUUCUUGCAAGUUACCUGGCAGUUUCAUAUACCCUAUCAUCCACAGAAUACAGGGGUAGUUGAAAGGAUGAAUAGGACUAUUAAGGAAAAGCCCAGAAUUUACCCAGGAACAUGGGUAAAUUGGACUAGAUAUCUACCAGCUAUUUUAGCUGAGAUAAGAGUGAUUCCUCACAAGGUGACUAAAUUAUCUCCAUCUGAGAUUUUUGAUGGGAUGACCUUUUCCCACACCCUGGGCCAGGGAACCGCUUGUUAUAAUGUCUGUGGAUUUACAGCUAAUACAAGAACAAUAUGUACAGGAGUUGUUGAUAAAACCGAAUGGUAUGUAUGACAAUGUUUCUUCGCAGUUUUCCCUUACCUUCACAGGAACCUACUCAUUCAUACCAGCCCGGUGACAAGGUGUAUAUCCGUCAGUUGAACAGGACCAAGAAAGGAGGAUACCCUUUUGGACCACCUGCUACUGUGAUUGCUGUACCCAGAACCGCUGUCCACAGAUUCCCACGACAUCUGGAUUCAUGCAUCCCGAGUGAAGCUGUGUCCAAAGAGGGGAACCAAGGAAGACAACACCACUCCUCGCUCGGAAACAGAAGAAUUUCUCCUCAGCGAAGCAUCAUGGUUUUCACACCAUAUCGUAGAUUGAGAGGAUCAUACGUACCUGAGACCAAGAUUAUGUUGUGCGCUAUGCUUUCUGGAGUUGUUAUACUCCCUCUGAUAUUGUUCCUUGAAUGCCAUUAUGAGUACAAGUCAAUGGCAAGUUUGAAACCUGUUUGUUUCUGGAAAAAGACUCUGACAUGAUGAACAAUUCUUCAAUACCCCCAGCCCAAUUAGGCCUUAGCCCCUCAUCUAGCAUUCGUCACACACGCCCCCUCAAGAACCUUUCUCCACCACCUUUCUAUCAGCAUGUAAUAUGCAAUCAUUCAUUCACUGAACGCAUUUGGAUGAAUUGGACAAAUAGUAACCCUUAUAAGUACCAGUUACCCAUAUGAAAUGUGUCUACAGCUAAUGAAACCGAUGCAUUAUGUUUGUUUAAAGGUUCACAGAAAAUUGUUAGAUCUUAUAACGCAGAAAUGUGCACAGUUAAGGUUGCAUAUCAAUGUAAAUAGACAGGCCUUAUUACUUUUAAUAAUGAUUAUAUAACUGGUAUCAUUAAUUGGAAAAGGGGACAAAUGUUAGUCAUUAUGAACAACACUACAAUUGAGAACUAUACACUACCUUAUAUUUUUACACCUUAUUACUGUCCUUCAUCCACUAUCAUAGAACCAAAAGUCAAACACGACACACACACACCUAUUCCGUCCACAUGUGUUAAUACAACUGCCUUCUUACAAGCUGUACAUGUGUCAUUAAAAAUCACUACUCCUGUUGUAACAUUAUGUAAUACAACAAACAAAGGCAGAAAAGGGAAUGGUAUGACACACUGUUAGGAGGUGCUGGAACCACUAUGGGUAUACUAAAUAGUUAUAGAUAUGGAGACCCUCAAGAAUAAGUUAAACACAGCCAGCAUGCAUAUAGGGACUGGUUUUCAUGCUAGUGCAAAUUGGGCUCCAAUUGUUGUUAAAUCACAGGUUAUAGGAUUGGAUUUAGAUAAAUCAAUGUAUAAUUAUUUAGAUAAUUUAACUGUUGCAACUAUGAAAUUCACAACAGGUCUAAGUAACUGGAGUACUUGUGCCAUCAGGUAUUUAUGGAUACAACAAGGAUUGGCAUUAGAAAACACACUAAUGAUUCCUAAACUAGAGAAGAUUAGAGGAAUGUGUAACCUCACAGAUAAUGAAUGGUUACUUCUAAAACCCCAAUCCACUAAAUGCAAUGGAUGGUUAACUGGUAAUGUUUCACAUUUUUCAUGCUCAUGCUAUUUUACAUUAUAUCAUACAUCAUCAAAGGAUGUUAAAUUAGCUUGUCAAUUUAACACAUUACCAGUACCAGUUUAUGAUCUUUUUGCCAAGAAUUUAACCUGGUGGGCACCCACAUACACAGGGGACUAUAUUUUUCCCAAAGAUAACACACACAGGUAGCCACACAUAUCCUAAAAGGAGAACUCCUUAAGGUGAGUUCACAAAUUCAGAAUGAUUUAGCCCAUCAUUGGUACGAUGCUUCACUGGUUGGUCCCCUACUGGAUCUCAGAUAAUGAAAUCAUUCUUCUAUCAUUUUGUUAUUAUAGUCCUGAUUUUAUUGUGUAUGGUUUUAUAUAACUGUCACCUUACUUGUACAUUGAGGAAGAGAGUACAGAAAUGAAUCCAUAAUGCAGAACAGAAACAAUUAGAAAUUCUCCUCUCUGCCACUGUAGAGUAUCAACCCAUCUUUAAACUGGGCCUUAGGAAUUACCACAUGGGAAUCGAGGUGAAGAAAUUAAUGAAAGUCCCGCAGGGAGUGACUAGCACCCCUGAAAAUACCAUGUGGAGGUUUCUCUGUCCUGGUAAGAUUUUAUCGAUAAGAUGAGCAAUUGUUUUAUUGCUCAAAGAGGGGAAUGUAAGAAUAUUAAAUAGUUAACUUGUUUAUAUGUAUUUUAUGCUUUUAUAAGGUUUAUAACAUGAUUAUUGCUGACUGAAGGGAUAUGAAUACUUAAAGUCAUAAUAUGCUGACUGUGACAGACUAAGGUAUUUCUUCUAUAGGAUGUAAGACAAUGCUAAAAUUUCAGGAUGUCUUGCCCAUUCCGAUUUCAGGAUAUUCUUUUCCAGACGUAUGCAAAAGCUUAUCUUUCCAUUGUCAGAAUAACGUAAUACAAG